CAAUGGGCGCAAGCCUGAUGGAGCAACACCGCGUGAGUGAAGAAGGGUUUCGGCUCGUAAAGCUCUGUUGUUAAAGAAGAACACGUAUGAGAGUAACUGUUCAUACGUUGACGGUAUUUAACCAGAAAGUCACGGCUAACUACGUGCCAGCAGCCGCGGUAAUACGUAGGUGGCAAGCGUUAUCCGGAUUUAUUGGGCGUAAAGAGAGAGCAGGCGGUUUUCUAAGUCUGAUGUGAAAGCCUUCGGCUUAACCGGAGAAGUGCAUCGGAAACUGGAUAACUUGAGUGCAGAAGAGGGUAGUGGAACUCCAUGUGCAGCGGUGGAAUGCGUAGAUAUAUGGAAGAACACCAGUGGCGAAGGCGGCUACCUGGUCUGCAACUGACGCUGAGACUCGAAAGCAUGGGUAGCGAACAGGAUUAGAUACCCUGGUAG
rnacentral:rRNA from 1 species